rnacentral:rRNA from 1 species
GAUGAACGCUAGCGGCAGGCUUAACACAUGCAAGUCGAGGGGUAGAAGUUGCUUGCAACUUUGAGACCGGCGCACGGGUGCGUAACGCGUAUGCAAUCUACCUUGUACAGGGGGAUAGCCCAGAGAAAUUUGGAUUAAUACCCCAUAGUGUAAUUGAAUGGCAUCAUUUAAUUACUAAAGUUCCAACGGUACAAGAUGAGCAUGCGUCCUAUUAGCUAGUUGGUGUGGUAACGGCAUACCAAGGCUACGAUAGGUAGGGGUCCUGAGAGGGAGAUCCCCCACACUGGUACUGAGACACGGACCAGACUCCUACGGGAGGCAGCAGUGAGGAAUAUUGGACAAUGGGCGCAAGCCUGAUCCAGCCAUGCCGCGUGCAGGAAGACGGUCCUAUGGAUUGUAAACUGCUUUUAUACGGGAAGAAACACUCCUACGUGUAGGAACUUGACGGUACCGUAAGAAUAAGGAUCGGCUAACUCCGUGCCAGCAGCCGCCGUAAAAC